AUGAAUGUAAAAAAUACGCUGAGGAAGCAAGGGAGCAGUACAAUGCAUGGAAGCGUGCUGCUUAUCGGAAGAAAAAAGAUAAUGAUAUUGUCAACUUACAAGAUAAGAAUCAGCCUGAUAUAUAUAUAUAUAUAUCAUAGGGAUCUUAUCAACGCUCGUAGGCGGGCGGCUUAUCGCAAUAUCAAGCCAGGUUGUUUGGAUAAACAUAGUUUCAAUGGCUAG
rnacentral:rRNA from 1 species